rnacentral:rRNA from 1 species
GCGUGCUUAACACAUGCAAGUCGAACGGAGAUAAACGGCGAAGAGAUUUCGGUCGAUUCCUGUUUAUCUUAGUGGCGGACGGGUGAGUAACGCGUGGGUAACCUGCCCUGUACAGGGGGAUAACACUUAGAAAUAGGUGCUAAAACCGCAUAAGCGCACAGUACCGCAUGGUACAGUGUGAAAAACUCCGGUGGUACAGGAUGGACCCGCGUCUGAUUAGCUGGUUGGAGGGGUAACGGCCCACCAAGGCGACGAUCAGUAGCCGGCCUGAGAGGGUGAACGGCCACAUUGGGACUGAGACACGGCCCAAACUCCUACGGGAGGCAGCAGUGGGGAAUAUUGCACAAUGGGGGAAACCCUGAUGCAGCGACGCCGCGUGAGUGAAGAAGUAUUUCGGUAUGUAAAGCUCUAUCAGCAGGGAAGAUAAUGACGGUACCUGAGUAAGAAGCCCCGGCUAACUACGUGCCAGCAGCCGCGGUAAUACGUAGGGGGCAAGCGUUAUCCGGAUUUACUGGGUGUAAAGGGAGCGUAGACGGCAUGGCAAGUCUGAAGUGAAAGCCCGGGGCUCAACCGCGGGACUGCUUUGGAAACUGUUAAGCUGGAGUGCAGGAGAGGUAAGUGGAAUUCCUAGUGUAGCGGUGAAAUGCGUAGAUAUUAGGAGGAACACCAGUGGCGAAGGCGGCUUACUGGACUGUAACUGACGUUGAGGCUCGAAAGCGUGGGGAGCAAACAGGAUUAGAUACCCUGGUAGUCCACGCCGUAA